ACGCUACGACGGCAGCAGGAGCUCCUGGUCCACAGGCUCACAGGCCCGGCAGCGGCCCCCAGAGGCCGGGCUGGGAAAAGCAGCGGGCUUCAGCGGAUGAACAAGGUUACCACGGGAAGUGUAGGAGCCAAGGCCGCAGAGAAUGGGGAGGCUCCGCUAUUCUCUAAAUUCAGGGGGCGGCGGGCGCGGUGGCUCACGCCUGUAAUCUCAGCACUUGGGGAGGCCGAGGAGGGCGGAUCACGUGAGGUCAGGAGUUCGAGACCAGCCUGGCCAACACAGUGAAACCCCGUCUCUACUAAAAAUACAAAAACUAGCCGGGCGUGGUGGGGCACGCCUAUAAUCCCAGCUUAAUCCCAGCUACUCGGGAGGCUGAGGCAGGAGAAUCGCUUGAACCUGGGAGGUGGAGGUUGCAGUGAGCCGAGAUCGGGCCACUGCACUCCAGCCUGGGCGACAGGGCAAGGCUCCAUCUCAGAACAACAACAGCAACAACAAAAGGCCGGGCAUGGUGGCUCACGCUUGUAAUUCCAGCACUUUGGGAGGCCGAGGCGGGCGGAUCACAAGGUCAGGAGUUCGAGACCAGCCUGGCCAAAAUGGUUAAAUCCCGUCUCUACUAAAAAAUACAAUUAGCUGGGCAUGGUGGCGUGCGCCUGUAAUCCCAGCUACUCAGGAGGCUGGGGUAGGAAAAUCGCUUGACCCCCGGAGGCGGAGGUUGCAGUGAGUCGAGAUCAUGCCACUGCACUCCAGCCUGGGCGACAGAAGGAAACUCCAUCUCAAACCCCCCCCCCCCACACACACACACAAAACCAACAAAAAAAGAAAGUGAUAUUCAAAUAAAAGCUUGAAGAAGGUGAGGAAGGAAUUCUUACCUGCAUCUUAAGGAAGAGCAUUCUAGGCCAAGGGAACAGCAAGAGCACAGAGGGUACCUGUUUGGGGAUUAGCAGAGGCUGGUGUGGCUAGAAGAUGGGCAACGAAAAGAGAUACAGAAAAUGGGGUGAGGGAGGUAAGAGUGUUGAGCUACCACCUAGGCUCUUAUAGGGAUUGUAAAGCUCUGGCUUUCACUUUGAAUGAGAUGAGAUGACUGGGUCUUGAGCAGAGGGACUUACUUCAUUUUUAAAAACAACUUUAUGGGGUAUAAUUUACAUACCAUAAGACUCACACUUUUUAAAUGUACAGUUCAAUAAUUUUUAGUAAAUUUACACAGUUGCCCAACUAUCACCAUAAUCCAGUUUUAGAACAUUUCCCAUCUCCCCUUGCAAUCCCCCACUGUGGCCUCCCAAAGUGCUGAGAUUACAGGUGUGAGCCAAUGUGCCUGGCCAAAAGUUUUUCAUUUCAAUAAAGUCCAAUGUUUAUGCUUUUGGUGUAAAAGAAACCACUGCUUAACCCAAAAUUGUAUGUAGUAUUGUCUAUUUUAUUUUUAUUUUGAGACAGUGUCUUACUCUGUUACCCAGGCUGGAGUGAAGCGGAACAAACAAACAUGGCUCACUGCAGAUUUGACUUCCUGGCUCAAGCAAUCCUCUUGCUUCAACCUCCAGUGUAGCAGGGACCACAGCAUGAAAGCCCCUUUAGGGGAGGUGACUGGAAUCAUCCCCAAAGAAUUCUCACCUAGUCCUGGUGUGGCUGCUUCAUAGUCCUGCGUUUCUUCCUGCUUGGCUGUCCCUAACAUCUCAGAAACGCAUAGAGAAGUAACGGGCUUCUAGAGAGGUAGGGGGUAUAGUGUUACAACUGAGGAUUUGGAAGUUGAGACCACCUGGUUCUUUACCAUCCACUAACCAUGUGACCUUAUGCAAUUUAUUCAACUGUUCUGUGCUUUGUUUUCUUAUUUACAAAAUGAGAUUAAUAGUAUACAGUAGUAAAUAUCAUAAAGGGUAGUGUGAUAAAUGAGCUGAUACAUUUGGAAUGGAGGGGAAUGACUGUUACAUAGUGAAUGCUCUGUGUAUCCUCACACUUGGGAAGUAUAUGUAAUCAGUGUAUGUAGUGCUUGAGGGAUUGUGAAUAAUACACAACAUAUCCUCAGUCAUCGAUUCAACAGAUGUUUAUUGAGCAUCUACUAUGUGCCAGUCCCUAUUCUAGGUCUGAGAGGAUAUACUGGUGAACUGCUCUAAUAGUUUAUAUUCCAGAGGAGAGAAUUUGACAGUAAACAUGUAACCAAGUUAAUAAGAUAAUUUCAGAUAAUGGCAGAUAUUAUGGGUUGAAUGAUGUCCCCCAAAAGAUGUUGAAGUCCUAACAUCUGGGACUAACACAUGGGAAUGUGACCUUUUUUGGAAAUAGGAUCGUUGCAGAUGAGGUCAUUGAUGUUAGCCCUAGACCAAUAUGACUGCGUCCUUAUAAAUAGGGGCAAUCUGGACACAGAGACAGACAUGUACCGUGUCUGAGGGAAGAUGAUGUAAAGAGACACAGGGUGAUCUGUAAGCCAAGGAAGACCUGAGGCUACCAAAAGCCAGGAAAGAGGUCUGGAACAGAUACUUCUCUGGCUCCCUUAGAAGGAACAUGGUCCUGCUGACACCUUAAUUUUGGAUUUCUGGCAUCCAGAACUCUGAGACAAUAUAUUUCUUUGGUUCUAAGCCAUCCACUUUGUGGUACUUUGCUACAGCAGCCCUAGAAAGCUAAUACAGUAGGUAAGAAGGUGAUGUGAUAGAGAGUAAGUGGGGGCAGGGUGGGAGGAGCUGCUUCAACUGGGGGAUUCAGGAAGGCCUAUGUUAUCUGGAAACCACUGAGGGUGGUAAGUAGGGAAGAGACUUGACUGGCUGACUUAAAAAGAAACUAUUUACGGGGGGAUAGAAUACAUAGGGGAAAAGACACAAAUCAUACAUGUAUUUUCAAUGAAUUUUUACAAAAUGAACACGUCAAUGUAACCAGUACCCAACUCCCUCUCCCAUGCCACCCUCUAAUUGAUGCCCACCCUAAGGGCAAACAAUAUUGUCAAUUCUAACACCCUAGAUUGAGUUUUGACUGUUUUUUGAAUUUCAUGUAAAUGGAAUCAUACAUGACAUACUCUUGUUUCCUUUCGCUCAUCAUGAGAUUCACCCACCUUGUGUAGUUUUAGUUCAUACAUUCUCAAUACUUUGUAGUAUUCCAUUGUGUGACUAUAUUAAAAUAUAGAUAUCUCUCUUGCUGUUAAGAGGCAUCUGGGUAGUUUCCAGUUUGGUCUAUUGUGAAUAGUGUUGCUAUGAACAUUCUUGUUCAUGUCUUUUGGUGAAUAUAUUUAUGCAUUUCUCUUGGGUGGGUCCCUAGAGUUGAGGUUUCUGGGAUCUCUCUCUCUCUCUUUCUCUUUCUCUCUCUCUCUUUAGGUAUAUUCAGCUUGAGUAGAUGCUACCAUCUCUGUGGCUGACAUAUUAGCAGAUUAUUUUGAGCUGGCCUGGUGUGCACCUGUAAUCCCAGCUCCUCAGGAGGCUGAGGCGGGAGGAUCACUUGAGCCAGGAGUUCGAGACCAACUUGGACAACAUAGCAAGACCCUGUCUCAGUCAGUCAAUCAAUCAAUGAUAAAUUUUGGUGCUGAGUGAAGAACAGAAUGUGACAGUUGGUGGGGGGUGGCAAGAGUGGAAAUGGAGAGACCAGAUAGGAGCCUAUUGUAAUAGUCCUAGCAAAGGAUGACAGUGGCUUUGGCCAGGGUAACAAGAGAUGGAGGAAAGCACACUCAUACAGGAUGCAUUAUACAGGGAAAGCUGACAGGACCUGCUGAUGGGUUGAAUGUGGAGAGACGAGGAAAAGAGAGGAAUCAAGGUUGACUGUUAGGUUUUUGGUUUGAACAACUAGGUGGACAGUUAUGUCAAUUACUGAGAUGGAGAAGAAUAGGAAAAUAACAGGUGUGUGGGAGAAUCAAGAAUUCUGGUUUGGCCAUGUUAAGUUUGAUAUGCUCAUUAGGUUUCCAAGUAGAAACAUCAAAUAGAUGGUUAGAACUCAGUGAAGAUGUCAGAUGGGAGAUACGAAUCUGGGGCCCUCAAAUCAGCAUACAGAUUUUUUUUUUUUUUUUUUUUUUUGAGAUGGAGUUUCGCUCUUGUUGCCCAGGCUGGAGUGCAAUGGCGCGAUCUCGGCUCACCGCAACCUCCACCUCCCCAGUUCAAGUGAUUC
rnacentral:lncRNA from 1 species